GGAAGAGGAUGGGAUCCGGUGGUCCCCGCGGUCUUCAAAACCGUAGGCUGCGAUUUAUCGCGGCGGCAGGUUCGAUUCCUGCCCCUUCCGCA
rnacentral:tRNA from 1 species